UUGCUGUCACUUAUAGAUGGACCCGCGCCGUAUUAGCUAGUUGGUAAGGUAACGGCUUACCAAGGCGACGAUACGUAGCCGACCUGAGAGGGUGAUCGGCCACACUGGAACUGAGACACGGUCCAGACUCCUACGGGAGGCAGCAGUAGGGAAUCUUCCGCAAUGGGCGAAAGCCUGACGGAGCAACGCCGCGUGAGUGAUGAAGGUCUUCGGAUCGUAAAGCUCUGUUGUUAGGGAAGAACAUAUGUGUAAGUAACUGUGCACAUCUUGACGGUACCUAACCAGAAAGCCACGGCUAACUACGUGCCAGCAGCCGCGGUAAUACGUAGGUGGCAAGCGUUAUCCGGAAUUAUUGGGCGUAAAGCGCGCGUAGGCGGUUUUUUAAGUCUGAUGUGAAAGCCCACGGCUCAACCGUGGAGGGUCAUUGGAAACUGGAAAACUUGAGUGCAGAAGAGGAAAGUGGAAUUCCAUGUGUAGCGGUGAAAUGCGCAGAGAUAUGGAGGAACACCAGUGGCGAAGGCGGCUUUCUGGUCUGUAACUGACGCUGAGGUGCGAAAGCGUGGGGAUCAAACAGGAUUAGAUACCCUGGUAGUCCACGCCGUAAACGAUGAGUGCUAAGUGUUAGGGGGUUUCCGCCCCUUAGUGCUGCAGCUAACGCAUUAAGCACUCCGCCUGGGGAGUACGGUCGCAAGACUGAAACUCAAAGGAAUUGACGGGGACCCGCACAAGCGGUGGAGCAUGUGGUUUAAUUCGAAGCAACGCGAAGAACCUUACCAAAUCUUGACAUCUUUUGACCGCUCUAGAGAUAGAGUUUUCCUCUUCGGAGGACAAAAUGACAGGUGGUGCAUGGUUGUCGUCAGCUCGUGUCGUGAGAUGUUGGGUUAAGUCCCGCAACGAGCGCAACCCUUAAGCUUAGUUGCCAUCAUUAAGUUGGGCACUCUAAGUUGACUGCCGGUGACAAACCGGAGGAAGGUGGGGAUGACGUCAAAUCAUCAUGCCCCUUAUGAUUUGGGCUACACACGUGCUACAAUGGACAAUACAAAGGGCAGCGAAACCGCGAGGUCAAGCAAAUCCCAUAAAGUUGUUCUCAGUUCGGAUUGUAGUCUGCAACUCGACUACAUGAAGCUGGAAUCGCUAGUAAUCGUAGAUCAGCAUGCUACGGUGAAUACGUUCCCGGGUCUUGUACACACCGCCCGUCACACCACGAGAGUUUGUAACACCCGAAGCCGGUGGAGUAACCAUUUUGGAGCUAGCCGUCGAAGGUGGGACAAAUGAUUGGGGUGAAGUCGUAACAAGGUAGCCGUAUCGGAAGGUGCGGCUG
rnacentral:rRNA from 1 species